UACGUAGGUUGCGAGCGUUAAUCGGAAUUACUGGGCGUAAUACGUGCGCAGGCGGCUUUGCAAGACAGAUGUGAAAUCCCCGGGCUCAACCUGGGAACUGCAUUUGUGACUGCAAGGCCAGAGUACGGCAGAGGGGGAUGGAAUUCCGCGUGUAGCAGUGAAAUGCGUAGAUAUGCGGAGGAACACCAAUGGCGAAGGCAAUCCCCUGGGCCUGUACUGACGCUCAUGCACGAAAGCGUGGGGAGCAAACAGG
rnacentral:rRNA from 1 species